rfam:Gossypium raimondii chromosome 4, whole genome shotgun sequence.
UUGAGCCGGAUGAGUGGAAACUCUCAUGUCCGAUUUUGAAGGGGGAUCCUGCAGGGCCCUAUCCUAAUUUUUCUCUUGCUAGGCCUAUUGCUAAAAAACCUACUUUCU